UGCUCUGGAUUAGAUCUGAUCCAGGCAGUGGCAUAAUGUGGAUUGCCAGCCUCUAGGGCAAGGAAACCGCUGCCCCCCUGCUCCUGCCACUGAGCUGCCUUCCAGGCAUAUACAGACAAUGGGCCUGGAAAGAAAGCCAAGCAGACCUGGCCCCCGCCCCCUCCACAAUACCCCCAGCCCCUACCAGCUCCUAUGACUUCUCUUCCUGAGUAGCCUCUGCGUCUCCUCAGGUCCACCGGUCAGCUGGUUGGCGGUUGAGUGGGGGAAGCAGUAGGCCCUUGCCUCUUGGAAGGAAAGCCUGGCCUCCUGCCUCUGAAGAUGCUCUUUACUGACCCUGAGGAGAAGAUCUCUCAGGUCCAGGACCACGGGGCAUUGAGACUAAGAUUCGACGCAGCACAUGGAAACAGCCUUCACAGACUUAUUUUUAUUUCUGCUCUUCACACUUCUAAGACUUUUUUUGCAUUAGAUAUACAAUCCAUUCCUGACAAAAAUAAAAUGUCUCUUUAACUGAUAUGUUGUUUAAAAGAGAAGAAUUUUGGUCUCUGGGUUAAAAUUACAGAUUGGAUUUAUCUGUUUUGUGGUGGUUCUACGAACUGCUGGUCUUAAAAAUUCAUAGGCCGAAAUCUUGUGCAUUUACACCAAAUACAUCUGUUUUGGAAUCUAACUACUAUAAGUUAAGAAAUUAUGUAGACAUGUGUUGCAUGCCAAGUUGCACGACUUAGUAUGUAACAGAAAAAGCCUAUGUAGAUUUCCUAUCUGGAAGUUACACUAUUUGCAUAAUUGCACCAACAGGCUUUCAGGCAUAAAAUCAGAAUUAUAAGUAGGCAUGGACUGGAAAAAUUGCAAUUCAUUUCAAUUCAUGAUUUGUCAAGAUUGACAAAUUAUGAAUAAUGAAUUUAUGAUUUUUUUCUGAUGAAUCAACAAAUCAAUUUGUGGAUUCAUUUUGUCUUUAAAACCAUAUAAAAUGCCCCCUUGCAGGCACCAAGAGACAGCAAAAUUGCAGAGAAGCUUCCCCCGAUUCUCUUCUACAA
rnacentral:lncRNA from 1 species